UAUCUCUGUAGAGUCUGCAUAUCAAUAAGCGGAGGAAAAGAAAACUAACUAAGGAUUCCCUCAGUAACGGCGAGUGAAGCGGGAAGAGCUCAAAUUUGAAAUCUUCAAGGUUUUACCUUGACGAAUUGUAGUUUAAAGAAGCGUUUUCUGUUAGAUGAGUAGGUAAAAGUUCCUUGGAAUAGGGACAUCAUAGAGGGUGAGAAUCCCGUAUUUGACCAGUUACUUUCCAGCUGUUGUGAUACACUUCAAAGAGUCGGAUUGUUUGGGAAUGCAGUCCAAAAUGGGUGGUAAAUUUCAUCUAAAGCUAAAUAUUGGCGAGAGACCGAUAGCGAACAAGUACCGUGAGGGAAAGAUGAAAAGAACUUUGAAAAGAGAGUUAAACAGUACGUGAAAUUGUCAAAAGGGAAGCGUUUGACACCAGUGUUGUUUUCUCGAAAAUCAAUUAAAAAAUGGCAUGAUUUUGUGUUGUAUUGACCUUAAUCAAGCUUCCUUCACUCUUUUCAUUGUCUUUUUUAAUGCACUUUUCGUUUAACAAGUCAACAUCAGUUUCUUUUGUUGUAAAAGGGUCAUUGGAAGGUGGCUUUCUUUUCGGAGAAAGUGUUUAUAGCCUUUGCCUCUGCAAUCGGAGAGAUUGAGGUCUGCAGCGUAGAUCCUUCUGGAUUAGAUACAUUUGUGCUAAGUUAUAACCGUUUCAUAGACAACUUGUUGACUAUGAUCGAUCAUGUAGCUUACUCGCUUAUGCUAAUUUUACCUACGCUUAGGAUGUUGAAGAUGUAGCACAUCAU
rnacentral:rRNA from 1 species